rnacentral:lncRNA from 1 species
GGGGUUUAAUUUGUAAAUUAGGGUUUGGGGUUUGAACAUUUCUUGUUACUAUUUUUUGUGUCGAGUUGUUUGGAAUCAAGAAUCGUUGGUGGUGGUAAAAGUUGGACGGAGAGUUGAAUCCUCGUCUUAUUGAGGAUGUCGAUCCGGUUGGAGGAGGACUGUUUCGCUUAAUCCAAAGUCGGAUUCGUGGUCACCGGCAAAAUCUAGAUAGGGUUAGUGUUUGGAGUUUGAGAUUUUGAGUAGUGGUUCGCCGGAGAAGAAGGUAGCGUCGCCGCCGUUGGCCGGCAACCACCGUCUUCUCCGAUAGGUGGUGACCAGGAGUGAUGGUGGGAUAUGAAGAGCAUGUGUUUGCUCUGAGAGGAAGAGAGAGAAGAUUUUGACGAAAGUGGCAUUUUUUUUUGUUAUUUGUUUUAACAAAGGAUUAAGUGGCAAGGGUUUGGGGCGAGUGGCGGUGAGAAGUGUCACCGACUUUGGACACUUGUCACCGGUGAGCAUAGGGAGAACCUUUUGUUCCCAUGCACGAGGGUGCGUUGUGCUAUGGUGCGACCCUCCUUGGCGUUUCUCUGUUUCGAAGACCAAGUCAGAUCUACAGAUCUGACAGUCCGGAGAACACCCCUUGGUCAACACGGUUGACCGGGUCUGCUUGGACCCUUACGUGAAAUGAAUUGGGCCGUUUCUUUUAAGCCCAUUUAUUUUAUUCAUUUCAUUCUGUCUCUCUAUCAGCACCCCCCCCCCCCGGGUUGGAUCAGCAACACCCACUUGGGCUUGGCCUUUACCUAGGGCCCAAUUGUUUUUUUUCUUUUUCUUUUUCUUUAUCCUCUUUUAGCCCAUUUUUAGUUGUUUGCUUAAUUCAAAUAGAGUUUUUAUCCACCAAUUACGUUCCUAUUAUCAUUAUUACUAAUAUCUAAGUUAAUUUUAUAAUUUACCAUUAUUUAAUUAGUUAAUCUUAUUAUUUUUACCAUCCUUUAUUAUUUGGAUAUAAUUUAGGUAAUUACUCAUUGUGUGAAGUUUGUGUACAAUAUUAUUUUGUGUUUAUCAAUUCAUUUGUACAAAUUCUUGAGUACACAUGUAUGGUGUGCUACAAUUGUGACAAGUUAUUUCAAUUUCACCUAUUUAAAAAACAUUCCACUCAAUUUCAAGGAUAAACCAUAAACAUCUCGAUUCAAAGUUGAGCCCAUUUUAAAUACCUUUGUAAGUCGAUCGCUUUUAAAACAUCGCCAUCAACCUCACAUAGCUUACUCUUGGGCUUUCUUACAAUGAUACCUAUUCAAUUUUUAUUUAAUCGAGUAGAAGAACAAUACACUAAAUAAAUUCAUUUCAUUCACAAAGCACCAAAUUAAAACUCGAUCCAAUGUCGAGUAUUUUCACUCAGAAUUAAAUUAACGUAUCCAAUCGCAAUCAAGUACCAUUUCAUUUGGAAAUGAAAAGGGGGAUGACUUUGAGUUUUCAAUUCUUCUCCUCGAUUAUUUGAAUACGAGUUCCCUUACUCGGUUAGUCAAAUAGUCGUCGCUUCUAUCCACCUAAGCACAAACAAAUUGAAUCAUUCUUAUAAUAAGAAACGAAAAGGGAGAUGACUUUGAGUCUUCAAUUUUUCUCCUCGAUUAUUUGAAUACAAGUUCUCUUACUUGGUUAGUCAAAUAAUUGUCGUUCCUCUACAAACUUCCAAACCCCGAAACGAAAAGGGAGAUGACUUUGAGUCUUCAAUUUUUCUCCUCGAUUAUUUGAAUACAAGUUCUCUUACUUGGUUAGUCAAAUAAUUGUCGUUCCUCUACAAACUUCCAAACCCCGAUUAAAUCAAAACCCUUUCAUAAUAAGCUAAAUGAAAAAGGAGAUGACUUUUAGUCUUCAACUUCUCUCCUCAAUUGGUUGAAUACGAGUUCUCUUACUCGGUCAGUCGAACAAUUGUCAUUUUUCCACAAACAUAUAACUUAAUCAAAUCAUUUUCAUAAAAAACUGUACGAAAAGGGAGAUGGUCUUGAGUUUUCAAAUCCUCUUCUCAAAUGCUUGGAUAUGAGUUGUCUUACUCGGUCAUUCAAGUACUUGUCGUUCAUUCUAAAAUACAUCAACCAUACACCACCUUAUUUUCAUAACUACUCAGAUGAAACAAAAAGUGGUCUAGAGUCUUCUAUUCCCUUUCCCGACUAUUAGGAUACGAGUUGUCUUACUCGACUAUCCGAGUAAUCGUCAUCCAUUCAAAACACCUUAAUUAUCAUUAAAUUCUUUUUAUAAUUAAGGAUGAAAAAGAAAGUGGUCUAGAGUCUUCUAUUCCCUUUCCCGAAUAUUAGGAUACGAGUUGUCUUACUCGACUAUCCGAGUAAUCGUCAUCCAUUCAAAACACCUUAAUUAUCAUUAAAAUCUUUUUAUAAUUAAGGAUGAAAAAGAAAGAGUUAUAGAGUCUUCUAUUCCCUUUCAUGGUUAUUAGGAUACGACUUGUCUUACUCGGCUAUCCAAGUAAUCAUCAUCCAACCAAAAAUAUCUCAACACAUCAAAUAUAUCCUUUUCUUUCCCUAAUGAGAUCGAAACCAAUCAAAACAUCCAACACGUCAAUUCAAUUCGUCACCCCUCGCGUGACCGAAACCUUUCUUUCAAAAAGAACACUAUCAAUCCUUUCUAAUUCGCACAAUAAACUAGUGCUAGAGCCUCCACCGAGAGUAGACAAGCCAACGUUUAGCCUUUAGAACGCCGACCUACAUAGUCGUUCAUCAAACAAAACACCAAUUAUUCGUAGUAGCCCGAACUACGAAUGCUUUGAUUUCCUUAUUGCACCAUAAGUAUAUGUAGGAAGGAGAUUGCAGUAUCUUCGCGAGCACACUAAUAAAAAACCUCGAUUUUCCCCCUUCUGUGGUCUUCAUCCAUAUUUAUUAUCAACAUUAAUUACUCGAAUAAAACAAACAAACAUUCAGCUAACACUCAAAUCAUAAAAUUAAACUAAAAGGUACCCGUUGAGUACAACGGACAUGAGGGGUGCUAGUACCUUCCCCUUGCGUAAUCCACUCCCGAACCCGAGUAUGGUUGCGACGACCAUUAUUCCAUUUUCUUAAAGGUUUUCACGAUAAAUUCCUAUUCCUUCAUUGGAAUGAAUAAAGUUCGGUGGCGACUCUGUUCGAACUAAACAUUUUUCCGAAUUCCAUCGCGAGGGAUCGCAUUUUUUUGAGGUGCGACAGACUGACGACUCUGCUGGGGACCCAUGCUCCAAGCAAGAGAGAGUGAAGCGUAGCUUAGUUUAAUUUUUGUAUUGAAUGCUAAUCUUGUUUGUUUGUUUUUUAUUUUUAUUCUGUUAUUAUUUUGUUGUAAUUAUUGUGUUGUGGUUUAUUUCCUGUGACACUAUUGGGGUUCUCUGAUUAUUGGUACUAUGUGAGAUAGGCUCUCUACCCGAGUCUGAGAAAAAAUAUAAGUUUAAGUUGGUGGUUGCAUAGUGAACGCCCACAAGGAGUCUUCCUUGUUGGGAAGAUACGAAGACCCCGCCUAGAGGAGAUUCUCUUGAGAUAUUAUUGUCCGACGAGCCUUCGUCACGGUGAUGGUGUUUCAAGUUGGAUCAAUGACUCUAGGGACCUUUUAACCCAUUAUAUCCGGAGGCUAUGUAGUAUUAACCUACGAAGUUUCAUACUUGUGGGGUUAAUACGAAAACCCCAAUCAGAUGAGAUCCCUUGUGUAGCGGGGUAUUCGUUACCUUUAGAUUUAUUAACUAAAUCAAAAGUAAAUCAUACAAUUCGAGUCGCCACCGCAUUUCUAUUUAUCCAAAGGAAAGGUUAGAAAGAGAACAAAAACCGAGAAGUUUUAUCGAAUCAAAAACUAAUAAAAAUGUCAGAGAUCGGGGUAAGGGGGUUGGUUAUGCAAUGGGAAGGUUUUAAGCAAGUUAGAAAGAGAACAAAAACCGAGAAGUUUUAUCGAAUCAAAAACUAAUAAAAAUGUCAGAGAUCGGGGUAAGGGGGUUGGUUAUGCAAUGGGAAGGUUUUAAGCACCCAAAACAUCCUAGGUACUCUUAUGAAGCCCUUUUCACAAUUUGUUGUAAGGUAGGUUGGUAUUUGUGAAAAUUAUUUGUGCAAACAUGAUUGGGGAGAUGAGAGAAGAAUAUACAAGUUAUUUACAAUUUUCUGUUUGAAUGGAUAAACCCACUGCCUACGUACCAUCUUAAAAAGAUUAGGAUCAAAACCUCAUAGUUCGGGGUAAAAAUCUCAAAAGAAGUUGGUGAAUUGAUUGGUCUAAAAGCCUUAAGGUAUUUUGUUAUCCAAGGGAGAAAACUCAACCUAAAGCCACAAAUCCACCAUGUGAGGAUAGCUUCAACAUGCUAGUGAGGGGUUAACUCUGUAAUAAGCAUGGAAGACUCAUUGUCCAUCACUAAGGAUAUAGGUGAGUAUUAUAUCUACCUCAAGGAUAACUCAAACCUAAUAGCUAAUGGUUAUGAAAUUUUUUGAUAAGAAAGUGUUCAUUGAAACCAUAAAACAUUUGAGUGAGUUAUAUUUACCAAUGAAAAGUAUUUAUAAAAUAUGGUCAAAGUUGACUUAAAGAUUUAAUUCAAAAUAAGUGUUAUGAAAAGAAGUUUGAAAAUCAAAAGCAUAAUGCUUAGGUUUCUAAUGUUUGAAAAGAAAUGUUAAUGUUUGCACAAAAGUUUUGGCUUUGGUUAGAGUGGAGGGAAGAAGAAGAAUGGCUAAGUCCUAAACAUACAAGAGAUGAAGGAAAAGAAAUAAGACCGCAAAUGGAGUUCCCUUCUUGAGAUCAUAUUGAUGAUCCAAGUAGCUCUCAUCCUUUGGAAUAAGCAAGAAAAUAAGCAAAUACUCAAGCAAUCAAUCAAUCAAGCAAGCUCUUAGGAAUCCUCCAAUGGCUUUUGUAUCUCUCACUUUAGAAGCUCGUGACAAUGGUUCUUCACUUAGGCUCAAAGUUGGAAUCCCUAGCACAAGAACACACACAUCAAAAAGUUCUAUAAUGCAAACAAAGAAUGGACAAGAGGGAUUUUAGAGAGUAGGUCCUUUUAAUCACUUAAGCAUUCUAAAGGCAGGAGGCCUAGUUGCUCUUUGACUUUUAUAGCACUCUAAAGGAAUGAGGCCUAGUUUCUCUUUGACUCCAUUUUUGCAUAGGAAAUGUCCUAAAGUCUAAGUCCUUUUAUCCAUUUGCAAUUGGUUCACAACAAUCAAAACAAAACACAAGCACAAUAAUAUAUAAACAAUUAUGUGCUCAAGUGAGCAAAAGGCAAAUUGCAUUAACAUAAACAUGUGCUCAAAUGAGCAAAGGGCAAAAUCAAAUGAAUAAUAUGUACAAGAAUAUUAAAUUGCAUAAAUGUAAAGUGCAGAAAUUAAAUGUUAAUGGUCAAUAGUUAGAGUUAAUGUGCCAUAAGGCAAUUUAGCGUUAUGUUAAGCAAUCGUAAGUGGACUAAUGUAGUAGUCACACCUAUUUGAGACCGGUCAAUAAAAAUAUAGGCAACAACACAAGUUAGAGAUCUUGAUUAGUGAAUCAAGCUCCUACAACUUGCCAUGCCAAAAGAAGAUGAGAAAUGAUUUUGUAUUAAUUUAGGUUCUUUGUUUGAUUAGGAAGCAACCUAUCCUUAAUGCAAAGCCAUUCACUUGAUCUAUGAUCAAGAUGAAUUAGAUUUGAAUCAAGGAAGGUUAAACCUCCCAUUCAUCAAGGCUAACCACCAAUCUUUAACUCAAGGUCAAACUUCAAAUCCAUUUCAAAUCAACUUUGAAAAGUCCAAAUGGAUCAUCCUAAGUUCAACAAGGUCAAACAAAGUUUGACAAAAAAUUUCAGCAUUUUUAAAAACCAGAAACUAUUUUUAAUCAAUUAAAAAUGUAUAAAAAUAACCUAAUUGAAUUAAAAUCUCAAAUAAAUCUCAAAUCAAUUAAUAAAUUGAUGAGAAUAUUUUUCAUGGAUCCAUCAUCAUUCAAAGAGGUUAAGAAAAUAUUUUUGUAUUUUUUUUAAUAUCAAAAACUAUUUAAAAUGAAUUAAAAACAACCAGAAAAGAUAAAAUUCAUAAAAAAUAUCAAAUGAUAAAAUAAAAAAUAUUAAAAUUCAUUUUUAGAAACUAGAAAUUAAAAGAGAAAUAAUGCAAUUGGUCUCACAUUUUUUGGACUAAUAAUGAAUGAGAUAUGAUUUUUUGAAAUGAAAAUGGAAUAAAAGAAAUAAAAUGAAAAUUGAAAUAAAAAAUAAAAAUGGAAAAAACGUGAGGCGUAGGAUCUAAGCUCAUUAAUUGAGCUGGAAAAUCAGAUUUGGAUCACAUGCGCGCAUCCACCAAACACUUAAGUCAACUGAGCAACAUGUGGCAUUAAAAAAGUCAUAAGAAAGAAGGAUCCAGAUUAGAUCUGGAAAAUGCAUCGUGUGGCCAUGAUUUGAUCUGGAAUUGGGACGGUGGUGUACACCACCGUCUUCUCCGGCGAGACCUCCAACGCCGGUGAGAGUUGCAGACAUGGCAACCUCAACCAAAUGCCACGAUCUAUACAACAAUGGAAAGCUGGGGUGAUGUACAUCACCCCUGUGCCAUCUAUUUUCGCUCUAGGAUUCCAUGGUAAAAGAAAUCAGAGGUUGAAAAUUAUGAUGUUCAACUGAAACUUAAUGGAUUUUCAAAAUUCAAAGCAUCAAUCAGAUGUACAUCACCCCUGUGCCAUCUAUUUUCGCUCUAGGAUUCCAUGGUAAAAGAAAUCAGAGGUUGAAAAUUAUGAUGUUCAACUGAAACUUAAUGGAUUUUCAAAAUUCAAAGCAUCAAUCAAUUUCCUCUGAUGAGAGGACUUCAUCCAACCCAAUAAAUGCAAGAAACAAGUUAUAAAUAAAGAGAUUCGAAGAAGGAAAGUUUGAGCAUCCGCCUUUGAAAUAUGGAUCUGAAAGGCACGAAUUCUCUUAGAUGUUGCUUGCAGUAUGAUCUCAGGAUGAAGAUGAAGCAAGGUCAAGGAACUAUGAGUAUGAAAAUCAACCAAUGAAGUUGAAAUUCUGAUCUGAAAAUUUGAAAAGAAAGAGAGAGUUCCUUUAAGUGAGGCUAUAGAGGGAUUCUUCCAGCAUAACAGGCGUCUUCAGGUUAUCUAAAUGUGAAGCCUAGCACUCCUAUAUAUAGCAAUUGGCAAGGCAAAUGCAUGAACGAAGUGUGUGCAUGGAUGAAGAGGGCCUCCAUGCAUGGGCCUGUACAGGCGCAUGGAGGGCCCAAUUCCAAUUAGAAAUGAAUGCUGAUACCACAUUUGAGUGAAGUGGACGUGCAGAAAUGAUGCAAUCAGCUUGUGCCAUGAGUUUUCAAUAAGUUUCCAAAAAUGCACUAAAAUAUUAUCUUCUUCAAAAAUGAUGCUUCCAAAAAUAAAACAUAGCCUUAUGGGUAAUGGUUGGAAAGGUCUUGACAUGAGAAUCAAUUGUUAUGUUGAACAAAACUUCAUUUUGAAUUGGGAAAUUAAUGAAAAUUGAUCAUGAAGUUGUAGAUAUUUUCAAGACACUCAAUUUGGACUCAAAUUUUGGAUCAUUUGGAUUUUUGAUUAGAAUAUUUUGGGCACUUGAAGUUGGACUUUUUCACAUUUCAAUGCUUUUGGUCCAAAAUGACCUAUAAUGUUUUGCAUUAUCACAUGUAUUUAUUUUAGGAUUUUGAAAAUUUGUUCAACAUAAAAAAUGAAGUACACAUCUUAAAAUUUCCAAUGCACUUGAUCCCACCUCAAAAUCAUGAAAACUGAAUGAGUUAUGUUCUUGGGAAUUUGACCCAAAAUUAGGGUUUCAAUCAAAAUGACCUAUAACGUUUUGAAAUGGAUGAUGACCUUCUAAGCUUCAAAUAAAUUUUUGAUGAACGUGAAAGUUGUUCAUAUGGUUCUUAAGAACAUUUUUUCUCUUGGGGUCAUAUCCAUUUGACAAACAAAUUAAACGUUAGGUCUCAGUGUACUUCAAAAUAGUCAGAUGAAUUGACUGAUCAACUUCUCAAGUCCAUGCCUCAAAUCUUGAUGAAUUGAUGAUUGAGUGUAGCGGGGUAUUCGUUACCAUUAGAGAUAUUGACUAAAUCCAAGGUAAACCAUACAAGUCGAGUCGCCACCGCACUUCUAUUUAUCCAAAGGAAUGGUUAGAAAGCGAACAAAAACCAAAAAGUUAUUGACUAAAUCCAAGGUAAACCAUACAAGUCGAGUCGCCACCGCACUUCUAUUUAUCCAAAGGAAUGGUUAGAAAGCGAACAAAAACCAAAAAGUUUUAUCGAAUCAAAAACUAGUAAAAAUGUCAGGGUAAGGGGGAUUGGUUAUGCAAUGGGAAGGUUUUAAGCAUCCAAAACAUCCUAGGUACUCCUAGGGAGCCCUUUUCAUAAGUGUUGUUCUAGUCUAAAAGGUGUAGGUAUAUCUAAAGUACUAUUUACUAAAAGGAAGGUUAAAAGAAAAUAACUCGCAAGGAUGUCACAUCCACUGCCUUCGUAUCUCAUCUGAGUAUGACAAUCAGAGUCUUCGUAGCUCGGCUACCUAUGGGUUAAAGAGAAGUGUGCUCGGUAAGACGUCGCGUCUUAUGCCUACGUAUCUCAUCUGGAAUGAGAAUCAGAGCAAAAUGUAGUUUGACUAACUAGGGGUUAAGGAUUGCCAUCUGAACAUGGACUUACAAAAGAGGACACCAACUGUGUCAAAGGAGGGUGGGCAUUGUGUUCAACGUCCUAGCAGUAGGUGUCGCAGCUCGCUGAAUCGAGUCUUAGGCAGUUACCUCUUUGCAAUAGAACAGACUGACAUGCCACAAGAUCAGAGACGCAAGGAAGGUCUAAAAAUGGGGAAGCUCUGCUCUAGAGUUGUCAUGCAAUAUGGACCUAUGUGUUAAGAUUUACAAAGGGGAACAUCUACCUAAUGUUAGCAGGCAAAGAAUAAGGGAAUUCUACCUAUGUUAUCAUACAAAGGGUUCUACCUAAUGGGUGCUACCUAAACGGAACAAGAGUCGACGGAUGGAGCGCGGAGAGGAGUUACGGAUAAGGGUAGAUGGCGAUUGGCACAUGCUUAACAAAUCUUGAUUGACGGGCCAGCCAGGCAAGAAAUCUGCCUCUCUUAGAAAUUCAGUCAUGGUGGCCGCCCUUGAAAUGAUGUAUCUGCCUCAACCAUGAUCAAUGAGGGGAUGAUUCGCGAAAGGGAGUGUGGAGGGCUAAGUACACAUGGCCACACGGGUACCAAUUGUUAUGGAAUAAGAGUAUUUUCAAAUAAUGCGCUUGAAGUGAGAGAAAACUAGCCAAGAAGUCUUGAUAAUUUUGAAGAUUUUCGGAUUUAGGAAUUUUCUAAGUGUCUAAACUUUCAUUUGACUAAGCAUAACUUUCUCAAUUCAAUCCAAAUGGAGCAAGCUUUAUAUCUAUAGAAAGCUUUAGAACAAGAGCAACAACUUCCUGUUGGAGAAAUGUUCAAUUGCGAGCUUUUAUCUUGAUGCAAAAUGGGGCUUAAAGUGAGGCAACGAUCAUGAAAACUUCCUAAAUGGAAAGUCAACCAUUUUCCAAAUUAAAGUAACUUUUCCAAUCUGAUUAAAUGAUGAACAUGAUCCAACCUUGAUCAAAGAUUUACAUGUUAGGAUCCCCUAGACAUGAUUUUGAAUUCCACUCUCAAAUGUCGAGGAUAGUUGACUUUUCUGGGCCCCCACAGUUGGACUUUCCAACUGUCGAUUCUCCGAUUCCAUUGAUCAAUUGAAGCACUUCUAGCUCAAAUAAAGAGAUGAUUUUUUGUAUGUGACCUUGUGGCAUNNNNNNNNNNNNNNNNNNNNNNNNNGCCGGAGGAAUGCGACUUACAGGUAGAUGGCGAUGCCUGAGGCAAUCGACUUACAAGAGGAUGGAUGAAUCUGUGCUGGUUCUGUUACGUUUGAAAAUGAUUACUCGACGUUGGAUCAAGCUUUUGAACUUUAUUUGAAAUGGUUAUCGGAUGUUCGUUUAUUUUGUAUUAACAGGUGACUAAAGAAAUAAAGAAAUAAAUAUUAUACACUUUAUGGGAGAGGGGUGCAUUUGUUAUGAAUGGGGAUUGUUCAUGGCAAACAACAAUAAAGAAUAUAUGCCUCAUACAUCAUACAAGUAGACAACAGAUAUCAAUCAGUCGGAUAAAAAACAAUAUAUAAUCAAACAAAAGAAUCAAAUAAUGAGCAUUUAAACAAUGCAUGGGAGUAUGAACAUGUUAAAUAGUCAAGCAAUAGAAAGCAUGAAUGAGAGAAACAAGUAUAAAAGAUAACAGAUGAAAAUAUACACACGAAGGCGGUCACUGAAUAAUUUAAUCAGGAAAUGAGGUAAAGACCAAAUAAAAUCAAGGUAAAAGCCUCUAAUACAUGGCAUAUGAGAUGAACAAGGAGGAUUAAAAGAUCUCUUCAUUGCCAUAAGCAAUCCCUAAGUCAAACAUCGAUCAUAAAGAAGUCAAUUGAAAAUUCAAGUCAUUUAAAAAAUAACAAAUAAAUAGAAAAUAAUCAAGAAAAUUAUGAAAAAAUUAACUAAAUAAGGUGGGUCAGACAUCAUCAUCCCCAAAAUAUUUUAAAAAUAAUCAAAAAUUGGUACGUGAAUUAAUAAAAAUAAACAAAAGUCAAAUUAAAAGUCCACCAACCAAACUAGUGUUAAAAAUAAAUCCAAAUAAAUUGAAAAUAUGAAAUAAAUUCCAAAAAAUCAGGUUGACCAUGAGACAGUGGGUCAACCUUCAUCCAAAAAUCAAAUCUAACAAUAAUUUAAGGUCAUAAAUAAAUCAAUAAAAAAAGUGUGUAAAAUGCGACCAUUUAGAAUAAAUAAUUAAAAUAAAAUAUUAAUAUUAAAAAUACGAAAAUAAAAUUAUAUAAAAUUAAAUAAAACGUUAGAAAGUGAAAAAAUAUUUUGGCUAAUUUUGACGAAUAAAAAUAUUUUAAAUAAGAAAAAGAAAUACGAAAAUGGAAGGAUUAAUGGUGAUGAACAUGGUAAGCAAGCGUAGAUAUAUCAAAACAAAUGGCCAUGGAAGAGAUGAUUACCAUGGAAAAUAGAAGUGUAAAUGGAAUCUGAUAUGUGAUGAAUCUUUUCUCCUUGCCACGAAAUUCCAAUGCUCCUUUAGGGUUAGGGUUUCACUUCUUAAAUAGGGUGGAUUAGGUGUUCUCAUGGGCUUUUUAAUAAGUGAUUAUCCAUAAGAAUAAAAGUGUGAAGUGAGGUGUAAAAAUGUUGUUAUUUGGGCCAAAUUAAGUGAAUGGAUGUCCAAUGCAUGGCCAAAAGAGGUAAAAAACGUGACUGGUUUGUGCAGCAUGCUUAGAAAUCUGAUUGGGCCAGCCAGGGCCAAAAUCUGCCUAGAAAUCAAGUCAUGGUGCCCACUUUAAAUGAAUGUAAUCUCUCAAACCAUGGAUCAAAUGGAGGAUUUUGAUUCCAAAAUGUGAAAGAGUACAUGGCAAGGUACAAUUGUUAUGAAUAAAGUAUUUUCAAAUAAUGCCUUGAAGUGCAGAGAAAACUAGCCAAGAAGUCUUGAUAAUUUUGAAGAUUUUCGACUUUAGAAAUUUUCUAAGUGUCUAAAAAAUCUCACUUUGAUAAGCAUAACUUUCUCAAUUCUAAUCCAAAUGGAGCAAGCUUUAUAUCAUAGAAAGCUUAGAACAAGAGCAACAACUUCCUGUUGGAGAAAUGUUCAAUUGGAGCUUUUAUCUUGAUGCAAAAUGGGCUUAAAGUGAGUGCAACAUCAUGAAAACUUGCCUAUAUGGAAAGUCAACAUUUCAAAUUAAGUAACUUUUCCAAUCCUUGAUUAAAAUGAUGAAUCCUGAUCCAACCUUGAUCAAAUUUACAUGAGGAUCCCCUAGACAUGAUUUUGAGAUUCCACUCUCAAAAUGUCAGGAGUUGACUUUUCUGGCCCCCACAGUUGACUUUCAACUGUCUGAUUCCGCAUUCAUUGAUCAAUUGAAGCACUUCUAGCUCAAAUAAAGAGAUGAUUUUUUGUAUGUAACCUUGUGGACAUAUGGAGGGUAUGGAAAGAGUUUCACCCAAAGAAUCAGAAAUAAACUGCAUGUUUAUACCAAACCCUAGUUUUAGGGCAAAAUGAUCAGGAACUGAUUGCACUGAUGCAAUGGAUCUUUUUGAGAUGAUUGUAAUCUUCCCUAGGCCAAGAUGCCCUCUCAUCAUGACAUGGAUGGGUCCUCUACUUCCAACCAAAUAUUGCCUGUUGCAGGAUCAUGAAACCCUAAUUUCUGUAUUAAAUCCAGAUGAACACUGCUGAUAGCUUUUAAUCAUCACUGAUUGAACUGAGGACCAUAAUAAAUAACUUGGACCCCUGAGACCUUGAGACUUGUAUACUUAGAAAAUGAGAGUCCAUUUCAUUUUCUUUAUGUGGGCUCCUUUUUUUAAGAAGUGAUGAUCAAAACCUGAUCUCCAUGUCACUAAUGCCAAUAUGCAAUGAGUAUGACCUAAUAUGAUGCUAAUGAAGUGUAAAAUAAUCCAUGCUUCCAGGAAAAAUGAAGGGUAAAUUUUGGGGUUUACAUUGAGGAUACUCAAAUAAGCGCUAAAUAUGAUUAAAUUAUGAAUGAAAGAACUUCCCUUGAUUUUAUUGAUCACGGUUGAGGCUGUCUUCAUGAGCAAGGCACGAUGUGAUGCACAGAUGAGAUUAGGAUAUCCUUGGGAAACAAGCCUCAAACCUUUGGUUUGCUUUGAUAAAAAAUGAGAAUUGAGAUACUUGAGAGGCAUAUAUGAUGAUGAGAGCUUUGGGAACCAUUUCCAUGCUUGCUUCCAUUCUUUACCUGGCCAUCAUCACAUGAGCAUAGGGCCUCUAUGAGCCUUGGGUCUUGUGAUUGAUCAGCUAAAAAAAAGAUGUUAGUGACAUAUUUUUUAUGCUUUUGGUUAGUAAACAAAAUAAGAAAAACAAUGAUAACAAUUCAAGCGAUGCUUGUGAUCUCAAACAAACUCACAAGUGUUCCCGCCCAAAAGGUAGGAGCCAAGAUGCUAUUAUCCUUGAGGCAAGAUGCAAAUGGCAAUGUUAUGAUGCCAUGAGGAUCUUAGGGUCAAAAUUAGGGUUUACACCUUGACGUAUUAUUACCUUACAGUAAUACUUCCGACCUCGAUCUAUGACUCUGAAACCUUAUUAGAACCUUGGACUCGAGAGUCGCCAUAGUAGAAUCCCAUGGAAGCUUCCUUGUUGGGACAAUACGAGACUCGCCUAAGAUGAGAUUUCUUAGGAGUAUUACUGUCCGACGAGUCUUCGUCACCGAUAGUGGUGCUCUCAAAGAGAAUCGAUGACUCUGGGAACUAUAACCUUAGGACCUACCCUUGGAAUUCAGUAAUCAGAGAAACUAUGCUUCUCUAUUAUCCUGAUGUACACGACGUGUGAAUGAUUUGAGUUUUGUAUUCCUUGAAAAAACAUGCAGAAGUUCUACAUUGCAUAUCUAAUGCAUUUCAUAUCAUCUUCCAAAAAACAAAAACUUACACCUAUUCUACUUUGUCCAGUAACACUGCUACUCGACACCGGUAGAGACACGACGCAACUACAAGAUGACACUCGAACAACUUGAAGCAAACCAGUUUCGCAUGAGGACCAACAUUGACUCCAUGCAGGCAAAGGAUGGAUCGCUUGCUAAAAACCAUGUUGCUCUUAGGCCAGAAGGAGAAGGAUGCUGAGACAGCGCCAAAAGCCCGAAGAGUUGCUGCUGCAGUUUGGAUCGCCAUCGCUUAGAUCCUGAAGUAACUAAUCUUGAUGGUAUACCCUGCCCAGCUGAGGAGGACCACUCCUUAUUCCUGUUCCCAUGGUUCAACAUGAACCCCCACAAGCAUUUGUACAUCUGCUCACCAUGGAUCCAUGAUGGGUGAUUGAAGAUCCUUAUGACGCUUUCUUCAUGCCACAACCGUAAACCUGCUGUAGGAGGUCUCCCAGACCCAGAUUUGAGAGACUCCAUGCCUGGAAUAGAAAUUCAAGUCCUUGGAGGUUCACAUACUCCCGGUUUGGACGUUCGUUGACAUUGUGCUUUGGUACCCCGCCUCGUUAUUCGCAAAAAUUCAAGUUCCAGACUUGACAAGUACAAAGGAUCAGCUGCCCGAGCAACUCACCUCAGAGCCUUAUUGUCGCAAGAUGGCUACCCACAUCAGUAAUUAUCAACUCUUGAUUCAUUACUUCCAAGAUAAGCCUCAGUGGGGGCAUCCUUGGAGUGGUACAUGCAAUAGAGAGGGGCCAGGUCCAAUCAUGGAGAGGGAUUUUGCUGAAGCCUUUCUUAGGCAUUAUCAAUACAACACGGAUCUAACACCCAAUCGCACACAGCCGCAAGACAUGACUCAACGUAACAAUGGUGUCAUUCAAGACAUACGCAACGGUGGAGAGAGCUUGCAACUCGUGUCCAACUCCUCUUCUUGAUAAGGAGGCUAAUUGAUAUGUUUAUGGGAACUCUGCAUAACCCAAUACAUGGAGAAGAUGGUAGGAUCCAGUUGCCAACUAUGCUACCUUGCGCUGCCAUGCUUCAAGUGGGAUAAAGAAACCAGUAUCGCCAUCUCCAAGGAAGCCAGAAGGGCAUACACAAUGCUAUAAAUAAAGAGGAGGAGGAUUUAUAGCGCACCUCCAGUAUGCUCCUAUUCCUUAUCCUCAGGUUUCCGCUGUCAUCCCCAACACCAUAAUCAACCACCGUAUCAACAACCCUUCCUUAUUAGAGAGGAGGAUAUAGGGAACCUCCAUAUGCUCUUAGCCUUACCAUCAGGUUUCGCUGUCUCCGGGGGAGAACGAACGAAGCCAUAUCAAGAAAGGGAAAGCUACCUUGCGCUGCAAUGCUUUCAAGUGCGGAUGAAGAAACCCUAUCCCAAUCUCCAAGGAAGCCAAAAGGGCAGACCAAUGCCAUAAUGAGAGGAGGAGGAUAUAGGGCACCUCCAUAUGUCCUAUGCCUUACCAUCAGGUUUCCGCUGUCAUCCCAACACCAUAUCAACCACCGUAUCAGGCACCCUAUCAACAACAGUAUCAGCAGCCUUAUCAACCAUAUCUUACCAACCAAAACAUUAGAAUCAACAAUGCAAGUUGCUCUCACAACAACGUAACUACACAGCAGAGUGGCAAAGGAGGCCAGAAAAUCAUUUUGAUGCCAUUGCCAGGUACCAUACAGCAAGAUCCUUCUACCUGCUAAAGGAUGGAAUCAAUUGUUUUGAAGGAGCUAACACCUGUAACCUCCACCUUUAUCUCACCAGGCUUACGAACAGCUAAUGCUCCACACUGCAUAUCAGAUGGGUUAGCCUAGGACACAAAGUUGAGGAGAAUUGCAAUGGCUUUCUAAACACAAGGUCCACGUACAUGCUGAUUGACAGGUAAGGAAUACAUUUACGCAGUUUAGGGCCAAAUGGUUGCAACAAACCCCUGCUGGCGCAUGCCAAGCAUAGUGAAGCUCGAGAUGAAAGCUUCCACCGGCCUGACAGCAGAGCAAUUCGACAGUAAAUCAAGAGAUGAAGGCCAUUGCUUUGAAUUGAGGGCAAUCACUAUGCCAUUUUACAUUUCGCACUUUUGUAAUUUGUUCUUGUUUGUUUAAAGUAUUAAUGCUUUAAACUUGUUAUUUGUAUUGGUCUUAUUAAUAGGAAUGAUUAUGCAUGCUGUGAAUUCAAUUUUUCAUAUUUCACUCAUAUUAUCAAUUUGCAAAACAACACAUACUUUUCACUUCACUUUCUUUAUCACACUAUGUUAGUAAUUUGGAAGGGAGGAGACAAAAAAGAAAUAUCAUAAUUAUUGAUGUUGCUUUCGGAUAAAACCUUGUCGAUAUUGUACAUGCAUUGUUUCAAAUCCCCAAACAUUGGAGAACAUAGGAGUUAAUCCUAGUUCAACCACUUAGAGCUAGAAGUAGGGUUUCUUUCGGAUCUGACGAACACUUACUCUAACCUAGGCAGGGUAGUGUUCAGUUAAUGCUUGACUACACAUUCGAAUACAAGAUUGAAAUAUCCCAUACAAGGAUACCAUAUGAACUUCUUCACACACAUCCUGUAAGUGUCGAAGGAAAUAACCUACAAUCCAUAAAUUUUUCAGUUACUCUUCAAUGACCAAUGAUUGCAGUCACCAAUUUCCAAAAAAGAAAGAGCAAAGAAAGAUGCCUCUAAGUCCAAACUUAAAAGGUAGACUUAGGAUAAAAAUGGGGGGCAUCUGAUUGAUUAAAGUUCAAACAAGCGCGAUCCCUGCAAUUAUGCGAUCAAACACAAACCAAAGGGGACAGAUGAAAAUCCUUAAACAAACAAACAGAGAUUCGGUGACCAUCCAUUACCCAAAUCAAAGGGGUCACAUAACCAUGAAGAGCCAAAUAUGGGAUGACUGUUCAUUCAAUGGGAUCUUACACUGUUGAACUUCUCGUAAAAGUUGAGGUUAUUUAAUUUGCACUGAACGUAGGAUAAGAGAUCAUCAUGAAGAAGGAUGGGCUGAUAUUAAACUGUGAGCCUUAAUUCCUUUGUUUCAAUCACCGUGAACAAGCUCACGUUACAACCCUUAUAAAGACCCUAACUUGAUAAGGUUUAAUCUGAAAGCAUGUACAACGACGGUUGCGUAAGCUGAUCCUUAGACGAUUUGUUAAUAUUCUUAUUCUAGUAUCACUUCCACGCUACGCACAAAUCAAGUACUGCGAAUUGACUUUGAUCCACUCGUCACACACUACCAAAUAAUCAAUGAAUGAAUGUUUUUUUCAAACUAACAUGACUAUUGCAUUAAAACACCAUUUCUUGGAUAACAUCUUAAUGUCAUUCAGUACUUGACAUCGAUGGAAUCCAACAAAGGGAAUCAGAGAGUACUGAUCGUUGGUGCCAACACAAGCAAAAACCAUCUAAUAUAUGAUCAGGGGAUGUAUCCUUUGAAUUUAUGUUUAUUUAAAGUACAAGAUGUGAAAGACAAAUCUUAAGCUCGUGUAUGAUCAGGGAGAGACACUAUAAUACAUCAGUCCAUCGAGCAAGUCCCUUAAAGUGCUAAUCAAGGGGCAGACAUUGCAAAAUUUAGGCACUGGAAAAUAUAAAUCAGCCAUGCAUGGAUAAUCAUCCUAAAGUUUGCCAUUUAAUGGGAAUGUUUUGAUACCCCUAAGAAUGGGGCAAGACAAGUUGAAAGGGGCAAUUCCAUCUAUCUUCAAGUCAGUCAAGCUAGAUUGUUGUCAGACACUGGAAAUCCUGCUGAAUUCACAACAAAAAUGUCGAAAUAAGUGCAUUACCAGUAAACAACAUCAUUACCUGUGACAAGAAUCCUUAGCGGCACGUCGCAGGUGUUAAUGAUCAUGCCGUUGAUUAUGUCGCUAUGUACCAAAGUAACAGGCUGGCCAGGACACUUCAGAAGAAGGAAUUGAGAUCUUCUCGAAGAUAGAUACCAGGUAUCAGCAAUGAGAUCAAACUGGGGCACCAAGAGUAUCCAUAUCCAUUGUGUGAUCAUCGCAUCAUUCAACUACCGAGUGUCGGAAGUCAGAUCCUUUCACCAAAUCAAAGUCCAAGUCACGUUGACAAUUACAAGAAAAUCCAAAAGUCCACCUUGAUGGUAGCUUCAUAAAACAGAAUACCAACCAAACACUGGUUCCAGAGGAUUACAUUUCCUUUGAAAAAAGGGGGCCAUCCCAACAAACCAAUCAUCUUGGCCAUUCAAAACAGGGCAUUUACAUGCAUCAUGUGCAUCAUCUCAAUACAUCUUUGCACGCAUAUCAUUUAUGCACAUAAACACGAAUCAAAACUCCAAGGUUUUAGUCAUAGGCAUCUAGGCCAACCCUCAGUUGAGUCAUUGUUUUUCUCUCAGAGAGAGUUUCCUACCUUGCAUCUGCAGUUCCCCAUGAGUUCAUCUUUCAAAACCUUUUGUUGAUAAGACGUUAUCCUCAAACUAAGUCAAAAUAUUGUUUCUUUAAACAACUUACCUCUGUUUCACGUUGAGCGUCCCUCAAUGAGUCGUUUCCUGUAACCUUUUGUUGAUAGAAAUUACAUCUCCCCAAAGAAUAUUCUUUCUCAACCUUUUGUUGUCGAUACUCCAAGAAGUUUACCCUCGUAAUGUUUCAAUACUACCCAAACAAAUCAGGUUUAUUGACUUUGUCAGUAGCCUUAUUUCCAAUUUUUUUAAGCUAAUCAUCCCUUUUUGGGUAAAGUCCCUUGGUGAAUCAUGAUCACCGUCCUGUUGACGAACUAUAACCGUUAUCCUUUUGGUAAUGGUAAAUCCUUGACAUUUAUGAUCUUACCGUCAUUCCUUGUGGUGUCGUGAUCCUUGAAGUUUUGGCCUAACCUUCUCCUUUUGGUGAAUGUGACCUCUACAAUCAUUACAGCGCUACCGUCAUCCUUUUUGUGUCAGCGAUCCUUGUGUGAUAAGGAUCCUUGUCAUUAUUGGUUCAAUCAGGCAUCCUUUUGGUGAUGAUGUCCAGUCAUCUUAACAGUCAUCCUUUGUGAUAGAGAUUACAGAGUUUGUUUAAGCUAUCAUCCUUUUUAGUUGAGGGUGGGCAUUCGGAAAGUCCAACCCCACUGUCAUCCUUUUGGGGUCAGCAAUAUUUGAAGUUGUUUAUAACUUAUUAUCAUCCUUUUUUUCUGGUGGUAACAAGUUUCGAAGUUAUGAUCUCACCUUACAUCCUUUUUGUGAUGAUUGAUUGUUCGAUUCAUUAUCAUCCUUAUGAGAUGAUAAGAGUCUUGUUUUUGUAAGUUACCUUCAUCCUUUUGGUGAUUGUGACUGGCGCACGUAUUAUCAUCCUUUUGGUGUAACAAGUUUUUUGUGGUUCGAUCUUACCUUCAUCCUUUUGGUGACGGUGAUCCAUAAAAGUUCAUUGACUUAUUAUCAUCGUUUUGGUCGUUAAUGAGUUUUUUGUUGUUUGAUCCUACCUUCAUCCUUUUGGUGAUAGUUGAUCAUUCAAGUUGUACGGCUCAUUAUCAUCCUUUCGUGAUAACAAGGUUUUUUUUGAUCUUACCCUUCAUCCUUUUGGUGAUGGGAUCCUCCUGAGUUGUGUGACUUAUUAUCAUCCUUUUGCGUCCUGGUAACAAGUUGUGUGUUUAAUUUUACCUUCAUCCUUUUUGGGAUGCGUGUCGUUGACUUAUUAUCAUCCUUUUGGUGAUAAUAAUUUUGAAUUUGUUCUCACCUUCAUCGAUUUUGGUGAUGGGGAUCAUUUAAGUGGUUAUGAUCUUCUAUCAUCCUUUUUGGUGAGUUGAUGAGCUAUUGAACCAUGUCAUGCUUGCUUCAUCUUUACCUGGGCCCAUUUCAAUGAGCAUAUUGGGCCUCUAUGAGGCUGGAUCUUGUGAUUGCGCAAGCCUACAAAAAAAAAUGUUAAGUGGACAUAUUGUUGGCUUUUGUUAGUAACAAAAAUAAGAAAAACAAUGAUAUACAAUUUUUCAAGCAUGCUUGGUGAUUCAACUAAUUCACAAGUGUUCCCACCCAAAGGUUAGAGCCAAGAUUGCUAUGAUCCUUUGAGGCAGAUUGCAAAUGCAUUUAUGAUUGCCAUGAGGAUCUUAGGGUCAAAAUUGGGGUCUUUUACAGACGCCCCUUGAUUUUAAGGUUUAUUCUAGCCGGAGAUAUGAAGGUUAAAAAUUCUUCGUCUCGACGAGUUAGAAUGGGCUUAAAUAAUAACAAAGAGGACGAAUUUUGUCCCUAAGAGACCUCAUGAUGAAAUGUAUGUAUGCCCAAAACGUAAACACUUUGUGGGGAUAUGUGUCCACAAAGGAAAGAAAGGAAACAGGAGAAACUGAAAAUCCACAGGAGUGAUAUACUCAUAAAUGGGACAGAGGACUCAGUACUUACCGGGAAGUAAGAUGGAAUGAAAAUGCGUGAGCAGGUCACGACUUAAAUGUUUGCUGAGAGACCGAAGGAAUUUCCAUUGACAUAAAUCAAUAGAAAGACUCGAGCCGAUCAGGGAUGCAUGUAUUGGCGGGAAUAUGCCAAUACAACAAAACUAUCCAUAAAGGACACUUCGGAUAAAACCCGGACUCAGGUGAAGAAAAAAUCCACCAAGGGACUCCAUGGGGAAUGUCCAAAGAGGACUCAGCUGGAUGGAAACAACAGAAUGAGUAUUACCGUACUGGGUAAUAAGCUCAAUGAGACAUGUAAUCAAAUCACCUGGUAUCAGGUGAGAGAACAACCAUCCUCAGGGGGGAAUGAAUAUCUAAAAUCGGUAUGAGGGUGAGAGAUAUCCAAAUUUUCCAAAAACAUCUGGUAAGCCCGAAAGAUACAUUUUCAAACUCAGGAAAAAUCUGACUCCACAUGGGACAAAAAAUCAUAACUAGGGAGCAGAAAGGAAGGAACACUGAGGGAUACCGGUUACUAGGCAUAUUAAUAUGUGACCAACCAGGCGUGAAUUGGGGAAUAUCCCAAAAACCGCAAGGAGGGCUGAAAAAUCAAACUCAAUUGCAGGAUAGCAUCCGAUUCCCAAAAGGGGAAAUACGAAUCUUUACUCGGACUGGGGGAAGAAAAAAAGACUGCGACUGAAGAGCGCAUGAGAGCUAUAUUAUCUAUUACCGUCAGCAGAAACCAUGAGAUAACCAUGCUCGCAUGGAGAUUUUCCAACAAACCGAAGUUAACUGGGUGUAAGAUAAAGAUAAAAAUCGACCGAAAAAAGGAAGGGAAACAAAUCGGGGAUCCGCGUGGACAUAUGGAGGGUCAUGGAAAAGAGUUUCACCCAAAGAAUCAGAAAUAAACUGAUUUUAUACCAAACCCUAGUUUUAGGGCAAAAUGAUCAGGAACUGAUUGCACUGAUUGCCAAUGGAUCUUUUUGAGAUGAUUGUGAAUCUUCCUAGGCCAAGAUGCCUCUCUAAUCAUGACAUGGAUGGGCUCCUCUACUUCCAACCAAAUAUUGCCUGUUGCAGGUAUCCAUGAAACCCUAAUUUCUGAUUAAAUCCAGAUGAACACUCUGAUAGCUUUGAAUCCAUCACUGAUGAACUGAGGACCAUAAUAAGAUACUUGGACCCCCCUGAGACCCUUGAGACUUGUAUACUUAGAAAAUGAAGUCCAAUUCUCAAUCUUUCUUUAUGUGGGCUCCUUUUUUUAAGAAGUGAUCGAUCAAAACCUGAUCUCCAUGUCACUAAUGCAAUAUGCAAUGAGUAUGACCUAAUAUGAUGCUAAUGAAGUGUAAAACAUAAUCCCAUGCUUCCAGGAAAAAUGAAGGGUAAAUUUUGGGAAUCAAAACCUGAUCUCCAUGUCACUAAUGCAAUAUGCAAUGAGUAUGACCUAAUAUGAUGCUAAUGAAGUGUAAAACAUAAUCCCAUGCUUCCAGGAAAAAUGAAGGGUAAAUUUUGGGGUAUUACAUUGAGGAUACUCAAAUAAGCUCAAAUAUGCAUUAAAUUAUGAAUGAAAGAACUUCCCUUGAUUUUAUUUGAUCACGGGUUGAGGCUGCUUCAUGAGCAAGGCACGAUUGAUGCACAGAUGAAUUAGGAUAUCCUUGGGAAACAAGCCUCAAACCUUUUGGUUUGCUUUGAUAAAAAUGAUGAAUUGAGAUACUUGAGAGGCAUAUAUGAUGAUUGAGAGCUUUGGGAACCAUUUCCAUGCUUGCUUCCAUCUUUACCUGGCCAUAUCAAUGAGCAUAGGGGCCUCUAUGAGCCUUGGGUCUUGUGAUUGAUCAAGCUAAAAAAAAAGAUGUUAGUGACAUAUUUUUAUGCUUUUGGUUAGUAAACAAAAUAAGAAAAACAAUGAUAUACAAUUCAAGCAUGCUUGGUGAUCUCAAACCAACUCACAAGUGUUCCCGCCCAAAGGUUAGGAGCCAAGAUGCUAUUAUCCUUGAGGCAAGAUGCAAAUG